AAUAAGUGCAGCCAUGAGUUUUCGCGUCCAACUUUGAUCGUCCGUCUUAUUUGAAAUUUUUUUAUAAUUAGCAUUUUUGUUGUUAUGAGAUGAUAAAAUAUGAAUAGUACUUUACUCGUGGCUUAUGUUUUCAAUUUUUUUUAAAAAAAUUUCAAAUAAGACGAACGGUUAAAGUUGGGCGCGAAAAACAAUGACUGCACUUAUU
rfam:Oryza rufipogon genomic scaffold, chr06